rnacentral:rRNA from 1 species
AACGAACGCUGGCGGCAGGCUUAACACAUGCAAGUCGAGCGCCCCGCAAGGGGAGCGGCAGACGGGUGAGUAACGCGUGGGAACGUGCCCUUUGGUUCGGAACAACUCCGGGAAACUGGAGCUAAUACCGGAUAAGCCCUUCGGGGGAAAGAUUUAUCGCCAAAGGAUCGGCCCGCGUCUGAUUAGCUAGUUGGUGAGGUAAUGGCUCACCAAGGCGACGAUCAGUAGCUGGUCUGAGAGGAUGAUCAGCCACACUGGGACUGAGACACGGCCCAGACUCCUACGGGAGGCAGCAGUGGGGAAUAUUGGACAAUGGGCGCAAGCCUGAUCCAGCCAUGCCGCGUGAGUGAUGAAGGCCUUAGGGUUGUAAAGCUCUUUUGUCCGGGAAGAUAAUGACUGUACCGGAAGAAUAAGCCCCGGCUAACUUCGUGCCAGCCGCCGCCGUAAGAC